UGUGUUCCAGAAUUUUCCUGGCACCGGAGUCCCAACAAUUCCAGAGAUCACAGAGCAGGUGUAAGCACAGAAGUGUCUGUCUCCUCCUCGUCCUUGGCCAUGUUGUAUAAUUCCCCUCACCUUGUAAUGCUCUUCCUGUUGUCGUUAUGUAUGAGAAAAGCCAGGCAAGGGGCACAAUGAACACAAAAAUGCUCGGCCACUAAAUUUAGCUAAAAUUCGGUGGUGGGUUAACUUUAUCUUUUUUUUGGGGGGGUGGGGGUUCGUUUUGGAAUUUGUUUUGUUUUGUUUUGUUUUGUUUUGUUUGAGAAAGGAUCUCUAGAUCUCUUAGGUCCCACUGAAACUCUAUAUAUGGCUCAGGCUGACCUCCAACUUUUCUCUAUUGCGGCAGCCUAUCCCAGAGUAUGUGCAAUCGUGCCUGACUCAAGCCUUUUCUUUUGACUGGCACCCAACGGACCGGAACCAUUUCUUCAGGACGUUCUAUGCUCACGGCAGAGUUAAAAAGACCACUUGGAAGCCCAGGAAAUCCUUUUAUUGGAUUAAGAGCCCAUCGAGUCCUGGAAGAAUGGUUUAAAUUUGUGGUGAUGCAAAACCCAUGACAACAGUAAAUGACUCUUUAACUUCCUUAAAAAGUACACCAUGACAAUGAAGGAUGAACAGUCCCAUUUAAUUAAAAUCCGCCUACUGGCCUGGUCAGAUGGAGAAAGUGAAAAUAUCUGAGUUACACAAUC
rnacentral:lncRNA from 1 species